UUUAACUGAAGAGUUUGAUCAUGGCUCAGAUUGAACGCUGGCGGCAGGCUUAACACAUGCAAGUCGAGCGGGGGAAGGUAGCUUGCUACCGGACCUAGCGGCGGACGGGUGAGUAAUGCUUAGGAAUCUGCCUAUUAGUGGGGGACAACAUCUCGAAAGGGAUGCUAAUACCGCAUACGUCCUACGGGAGAAAGCAGGGGAUCUUCGGACCUUGCGCUAAUAGAUGAGCCUAAGUCGGAUUAGCUAGUUGGUGGGGUAAAGGCCUACCAAGGCGACGAUCUGUAGCGGGUCUGAGAGGAUGAUCCGCCACACUGGGACUGAGACACGGCCCAGACUCCUACGGGAGGCAGCAGUGGGGAAUAUUGGACAAUGGGGGGAACCCUGAUCCAGCCAUGCCGCGUGUGUGAAGAAGGCCUUAUGGUUGUAAAGCACUUUAAGCG
rnacentral:rRNA from 1 species